rnacentral:tRNA from 1 species
AAUGAAGUGCCUGAAAAAGGAUUAUUUUGAUAGAAUAAAUUAUGUAAACAAUUACCUUCAUUA